GACGAACGCUGGCGGCGUGCCUAAUACAUGCAAGUUGAGCGCUGAAGGUUGGUACUUGUACCGACUGGAUGAGCAGCGAACGGGUGAGUAACGCGUGGGGAAUCUGCCUUUGAGCGGGGGACAACAUUUGGAAACGAAUGCUAAUACCGCAUAAAAACUUUAAACACAAGUUUUAAGUUUGAAAGAUGCAAUUGCAUCACUCAAAGAUGAUCCCGCGUUGUAUUAGCUAGUUGGUGAGGUAAAGGCUCACCAAGGCGAUGAUACAUAGCCGACCUGAGAGGGUGAUCGGCCACAUUGGGACUGAGACACGGCCCAAACUCCUACGGGAGGCAGCAGUAGGGAAUCUUCGGCAAUGGACGAAAGUCUGACCGAGCAACGCCGCGUGAGUGAAGAAGGGUGUCGGAUCGUAAAACUCUGUUGGUAGAGAAGAACGUUGGUGAGAGUGGAAAGCUCAUCAAGUGACGGUGACUACCCAGAAAGGGACGGCUAACUACGUG
rnacentral:rRNA from 1 species